GGGCCCGCACAAGCGGUGGAGCAUGUGGUUUAAUUCGACGCAACGCGAAGAACCUUACCAGGUCUUGACAUCCUGACUAUGGUCGUUAGAAAUAACUUCCUUCAGUUCGGCUGGGUCAGUGACAGGUGCUGCAUGGCUGUCGUCAGCUCGUGUCGUGAGAUGUUGGGUUAAGUCCCGCAACGAGCGCAACCCACGUCUUUAGUUGCCAGCAUUUAGUUGGGAACUCUAAAGAGACUGCCGGUGAUAAGCCGGAGGAAGGUGGGGACGACGUCAAGUCCUCAUGGCCUUACGGGAUGGGCUACACACGUGCUACAAUGGCCGGUACAGAAAGCAGCCACUAUGCGAAUAG
rnacentral:rRNA from 1 species